rnacentral:tRNA from 1 species
GGUCUAUUAGUCUAGUUGGUCAGGACGUUGGAUUCUGAUUGUCAGAACCUUCCGUAGGCCCAGGUUCGAAUCCUGGAUGGACCU